AACCGAUCCAUCAUGACUGGUCUGCCGACAUAAUCGUCUGAUGUGGUUUCAACAGGCUUUUCCGUUGUGAUGUCGCUUUAGACCCAUCUGCUAGCCCCGGCCCGCUAGCUUUCCGAACGGCAUGCCUCCUUCUCGCCUAUCAUAGUAGCGACUACCGAACGGCUACCUGACACACCUCAUUGGACCCUAUGAUCACUCGGCUACACAUGCCUGUCAAUGUGCUGUUUUGGUUGGGACCAACAUGGUUGAGUACCUGCACCAGGCGGAGGUGACCAGACCCUACCCAUUUGUGUUGGUUCUUCGGGACUGCUCACGGUUGUUUACAGUCAUUAGUGGACCGGCAAUGGAGCAAGGUACACUGCUUGGGUCACAGGAUGUGUGCUUCAAGUCUUAUUAUGUGUUUGAUAUCAACUUUCCCACUUUGCCCCAGCAUGGGAAUUCCUAUAGACCAUGGUGUAUCAGCUGCCAGAUACAGUAUCUCCUGCAGUAAGACUGUUGCAAGCAUGUAUUUUUUCCACUGAACAAUAGUGGAUAAGUAUCUGCUCUUGUAUGUAGUGUGAGAAGGGACCGGAGGAAACAAGUGUUCCUGUGAAUUAAUAGAUCAAUGGAUGGAUGGAUGGAUGAGCCACGAGGUUCUCAUUCCAUUGCUCUUAAGGCACUAUUUAUAGCUUUUUGCCUACAGUACAGUAUGUAUCUCAUUUGCCUUUAGUUUAACUACUGAAGCAUGUUCUGGUACAUAUUCAUUCUAUCGUAACAAUUUAUUUUAAAUACAAAUGUUACAUUUUGGGGAUUGUGAUUGAGUCAUUAGUCCAUGUCCUUAGUAUAGUGACCUUCAAAUGUAAUAUUUUACACUUGUUCUGUGUAACAAUGUUUUAAUUCGACCCAAAUGUAGACCAUUAUUGUAUGGCAAAACAGCAUGUGUGUGCUGUCACCUAAGAUAGUCGAAGUGUGUCAGUGAACGUGAAUAUCUACUGAUUUACCUCUGCCUUAAGUGGUAUUAACACAGAUCUGUGUUAAUACCACUUAAGACAGACAGUGUCACAUGCACGCAUGCUUUGUUUUUUCUCCAAUUUCAAGUGUGCACAUCAAUUUCAACUGAGGCUUUAG
ensembl:lncRNA